UACGGGAGGCAGCAGUGGGGAAUAUUGCACAAUGGGCGAAAGCCUGAUGCAGCUAUGCCGCGUGUAUGAAGAAGGCCUUAGGGUUGUAAAGUACUUUCAUCGGGGAGGAAAAAACAAAACUAAUAAUUUUAUUUCUUGACGUUACCCGAAAAAGAAGCACCGGCUAACUCCGUGCCAGCAGCCGCGGUAAUACGGAGGGUGCUAGCGUUAAUCAGAAUUACUGGGCGUAAAGAGCACGUAGGUGGUUUUUUUAAGUCAGAUGUGAAAUCCCUGGGCUUAACCUAGGAACUGCAUUUUGAAACUGAAAUACUAGAGUAUCGUAGAGGGAGGUAGAAUUCUAGGUGUAGCGGUGAAAUGCGUAGAUAUCUGGAGGAAUACCUGUGGCGAAAGCGGCAUCCUAAACGAAUACUGACACUGAGGUGCGAAAGCGUGGGGAGCAAACAGGGAUUAGAUACC
rnacentral:rRNA from 1 species